rnacentral:tRNA from 7 species
GGGCGAGUGGUGGAAUGGUAUACACGGCGGACUUAAAAUCCGCUGGCCGCAAGGCUAUAAGGGUUCGACUCCCUUCUCGCCCACCA